ACCUGAGCCAAUAGCUCAUAUCCUAUAGGAUUAUUGCUGUGUACACAAGCAUUUUGUUCAUACUUGCCUAUAUUUAUCAGUUUAAUAAUGAGCAUUGAGAUAGAAAUACCUGAAGUGUUGGAUCGUAAUGAAAAUCGCUCGAGAAAGUAUCAGAAGAAAAGGUUAUCGACGUCAACGAUAUAGUUCAACUGAAAAUCGAUGGUCGCCUGCAAAAGAAUUUGUGACUUUCCGUUGCAGUAGCUAAAUUCGCAACUGCACGCGAUGUAAAAUUUGCUUUAUUGUGAACUGUUAUUUUACAUGGCAUCUUUGGCUUUUCAGUUUGUAUAAUGCUUAAACUUCCAUUAUAUUUUUCACGAAUUUACUGAA